rnacentral:rRNA from 1 species
UGGGGAAUUUUGCGCAAUGGGCGAGAGCCUGACGCAGCAACGCCGCGUGGAGGAUGAAGGUCUUUGGAUUGUAAACUCCUGUCAGCGGGGAACAAGGGACUUCGGUUAAUACCCGGGGGACUUGAUUGUACCCGCCGAGGAAGCCCCGGCUAACUCUGUGCCAGCUGCCGCGGUAAUACAGAGGGGGCGAGCGUUAUUCGGAAUUAUUGGGCGUAAAGGGCGCGUAGGCGGCUUUUCAAGUGACGGGUGAAAUCCCUCGGCUUAACCGAGGAACUGCCUGUCAGACUGGAAGGCUUGAGACCGGGAGAGGUGAGUGGAAUUCCCAGUGUAGCGGUGAAAUGCGUAGAUAUUGGGAGGAACACCAGUGGCGAAGGCGGCUCACUGGACCGGUACUGACGCUGAGGCGCGAAAGCGUGGGGAGCAAAC